rnacentral:rRNA from 1 species
AUUGAACGCUGGCGGCAUGCUUUACACAUGCAAGUCGAACGGUAACAGGUCUUCGGAUGCUGACGAGUGGCGAACGGGUGAGUAAUGUAUCGGAACGUGCCCAGUAGUGGGGGAUAACUACUCGAAAGAGUGGCUAAUACCGCAUGAGAACUGAGGUUGAAAGCGGGGGACCUUCGGGCCUCGCGCUACUGGAGCGGCCGAUAUCAGAUUAGGUAGUUGGUGGGGUAAAGGCCUACCAAGCCGACGAUCUGUAGCUGGUCUGAGAGGACGACCAGCCACACUGGGACUGAGACACGGCCCAGACUCCUACGGGAGGCAGCAGUGGGGAAUUUUGGACAAUGGACGCAAGUCUGAUCCAGCAAUGCCGCGUGCAGGACGAAGGCCUUCGGGUUGUAAACUGCUUUUGUACAGAACGAAAAGGCUCUGGUUAAUACCUGGGGCUCAUGACGGUACUGUAAGAAUAAGCACCGGCUAACUACGUGCCAGCAGCCGCGGU